rnacentral:tRNA from 1 species
GCCUUGGUGGUGUAGCGGCCUAGCAUGCAGCCUUGUCAAGGCUGCGACCCGGGUUCAAAAAGACGCUGCCUUGGCAGCUCUUGAAUUUCCCGGCCAGGGCG